rnacentral:rRNA from 1 species
UACGGAGGGAGCUAGCGUUGUUCGGAAUUACUGGGCGUAAAGCGCGCGUAGGCGGCUUUGUAAGUUAGAGGUGAAAGCCCGGAGCUCAACUCCGGAACUGCCUUUAAAACUGCAUCGCUUGAAUCCAGGAGAGGUGAGUGGAAUUCCGAGUGUAGAGGUGAAAUUCGUAGAUAUUCGGAAGAAACACCAGUGGCGAAGGCGGCUCACUGGACUGGUAUUGACGCUGAGGUGCGAAAAGCGUGGGGAGCAAACAGGG